CCUACGGGUGGCAGCAGUGAGGAAUAUUGCUCAAUGGGCGCAAGCCUGAACCAGCCAAGUCGCGUGAGGGAUGACGGUCCUAUGGAUUGUAAACCUCUUUAGUCGGGGAGCAAGGCACGCCACGUGUGGCGGGAAGGAGAGUACCCUACGACAAAGCAUCGGCAAACUUCGUGCCAGCAGCAGCGGUAAUACGGGGGAUGGGAGGUUUAUCCGGAGCUAUUGGGUGAAAGGGGUGCGUAGGCGGAAGGGAAUGUCAGCGGUAAAAUGGCGGUGCUAAACACCGGCCUGCCGUUGAAACUGGUCGUCUUGAGUGAGCGAGAGGCAUGCGGAAUGCGUGGUGUAGCGGUGAAAUGCGUAGAUAUCACGCAGAACACCGAUGGCGAAGGCAGCAUACCGGC
rnacentral:rRNA from 1 species